rnacentral:rRNA from 1 species
UACGAAGGGGGCUAGCGUUGCUCGGAAUCACUGGGCGUAAAGGGUGCGUAGGCGGGUCUUUAAGUCAGGCGUGAAAUCCUGGAGCUCAACUCCAGAACUGCCUUUGAUACUGAAGAUCUUGAGUUCGGGAGAGGUGAGUGGAACUGCGAGUGUAGAGGUGAAAUUCGUAGAUAUUCGCAAGAACACCAGUGGCGAAGGCGGCUCACUGGCCCGAUACUGACGCUGAGGCACGAAAGCGUGGGGAGCAAACAGG